GUCAAACCCAAAAGAAAAAUAAAUAAUAAAAAUAAAAACAAAAAAAAAUCUCUUCUUCAGUUUUGUGGGGGAUGUGUCACAGUGAUGAUAGAUAAACCACAAAAGAGAGACACUUUACUACGUUCAACACACUUUCAUUCACUUGCUGGCUUUUACCGCUGCUACUUGCUAUUCUUGCAACCCUUUCAUUUUUGCUUUAUUAUCUUUCUUCCUCUUUUUCUUUUCUUUUUUUUCUUCUUGUGUUCUUUUACUAUUUCUGUUCCUUUCAUGGAGAUCUUGAGCAACAUGUCACCAACUUUUUUGAUGUUGUUGUUGGUGCAGCUUGGUUAAUUCUGGAUUGGGUUCAACUCAUAGUGAAGGAUUGGAUUGAUUCUCUUCUAGCUAGUUGUUGGUUCUAGCUUCUCUUUUUUUCUUUUGGUGGUGAGGUUGUUAGUUCUAUUAACUAGUUAACUACUACGGUGAAUUGGUGAAGUUGUGCUUUCUUUUAUGGAUCCCAUUGUUGAGUGAUGUGUGUUUUUCUGGGGAUGGAGUACAUUGGCAAGUGGGAGGAAUGUGAAGGCUAUGAGAGGAAUUGAGGGGGGUGGUGGUGGUUGAAAUGAGUUAGGGUUCCAUGUGUGUUUGUGUGAUUACUGAAAACUUUGUCUUCAAAAGGAGGGAAAAGGGUAAAGCUUGAUAUGAAGCUUUCAACAUCAGGGUUGCCUCAGCAGGGACAACAUGAAGGAGGGGAGAAGAAGUGCUUGAAUUCUGAGCUAUGGCAUGCAUGUGCGGGUCCAUUGGUGUCCCUACCAACUGCAGGGACUCGUGUGGUUUACUUCCCUCAGGGUCAUAGUGAGCAGGUUGCUGCCACAACUAACAGAGAAGUUGAUGGCCACAUACCGAAUUACCCGAGCUUGCCUCCCCAGUUGAUUUGCCAACUUCACAAUGUCACGAUGCAUGCAGAUGUUGAAACAGAUGAAGUUUAUGCCCAAAUGACACUGCAGCCGUUGACUCCGCAAGAGCAGAAGGAUACAUUUCUUCCCAUGGAAUUGGGAGUUCCAAGUAAGCAGCCCUCAAAUUAUUUUUGCAAGACCUUAACUGCUAGUGACACCAGCACACAUGGAGGGUUUUCUGUUCCGCGUCGUGCAGCUGAGAAAGUUUUCCCUCCGCUGGAUUUCUCAUUGCAACCGCCUGCACAAGAACUAAUUGCUAGAGAUCUCCAUGAUGUUGAGUGGAAAUUUCGUCAUAUUUUUAGGGGUAAGUUGGAAUUGAGGGGAAGUUAGAAGACCCUCUUAGAUCAGGCUGGCAGCUUGUAUUCGUCGACAGGGAGAAUGAUAUUCUUCUCCUUGGGGACGAUCCGUGGGAAUCAUUUGUCAACAAUGUUUGGUAUAUCAAAAUACUUUCACCUGAAGAUAUUCAAAAGAUGGGAGAUCAAGGCGUAGAAUCUCGCGACAGUGCUCCCGGCCUACCAUCAAUAGGGGAUUACUGAGAUAUUGAAAACUAUCCCUUCAAUUCCCACGGUCAUGACAUAAGUAUCACAUGCUUUGAACACUACUUUUAGACCAGAACUUGCAUAUCUAGAUAUGUUCUGUAUUAUCUAUCUGUUCCACUUUCACCAUCUUUAUUACUUGGAGAGUUGAUAAAAUUUAUGAUAAGAAACUUAGGACAAACUAUUUUUGUUUAAUCAAGAGAAUCUCAGGACAAAGAUUUGUUCUACUAGUUUGUAACUUAUGUACUGAAUGCUAGAAAUGUUAGUAUUAUUAUUAUCACUACUGUACUAUUUGGUAACUCUCUUGCAUGAGCUAAUUUUGUAGAAAGAAAUCUAGAGAAUGCUGAAAGGUUAGGUUA